AUUAUACAUUUUCCCAUGUUUACAUUUUUUUAUAUUUUAGGACAUAAGCAUCCAAGGAAAAGAAAAAAACAUAUGGGUAAGAGAAGAAACGGACGCAUUUAUCAAUUCCAAGUGCAUAGAAAUAUUUAGUGGAUGUAUGAUGUCAAUAGGUAAAUAUUUAAACGAGUAUAAUGUUAAAAUUUGUAAAAUAAAAAGUAUAUUUGAAAUGCUUUUGUCGUCUUGUUGGGUCUUGGGAAAAGAAAAAAAAAAUAAAAUAUGGGUUAGUGCAUUAAUACAAAGGUUAAGACAAGUACAAUUAUUAACUCAAAUUACAACUAUAGAAAAAUGGUCCUAUAAUAUAAAAAAAUAUAAUGAUAUAAAUGUAAGUAAUUUUAUUAAAGAUAUUUAUAAUUUUAAUAAUGCUAAUGGUAAGAUAUUGUGCCCUUUCCAAUUGCAAAAUGUAAAUAUUUACCUACCCCCAAAACAAACAAACUUAAAAAACAUCCCAUACUAUACUACUGCAGCAGAUAAAUACAAAGAUAAAAAGGAUCAAAAUAAUAUGCUGAUAAAUAAAAAAAAAAACGUACAGUUUAAUAAUAUAUUAAGUAAUAUAACAAGUAAUAUGCAUAAAUAUUUUAAAACCAGGGGGCCUAAAAAUGUUAAUUUUAAAAAAAUAACUGGCUCACUUUAUCCAGCUGAAGAAAAUGAUCGUGCAGGUAACAAGCCCAGUUUCAGUGAUAAUAAACUUUCUUCUAAUGAUUCAUCUAAUUAUUUAAUGGACAGUGAAAAUAUGAGCGAACAGCUAAGUUCUUAUUCAAGUUCAAGCCAACAAAGUGAUCCCCCAAUACGUGAAAAAAAAAAUGGAAUACCCGUUAAAAUAAAAUAUAUAAAAAAUUCGUUAGAUGAUGACAAAUCGAAAUAUCUUAUAGAGAUACCAAAAAAAGAUUUGCAAGGGAGAGGCAAUGAUAAUCAUGUAAAAGCUGGUGCGGCACUUUUCUAAAAAAAAUAAUAAUAAAUAAUACCAAAAAUAAAGUGCUUAUAUUUGU
rnacentral:lncRNA from 1 species